rnacentral:misc_RNA from 1 species
AAGUCGUAACAAGGUUUCCGUAGGUGAACCUGCGGAAGGAUCAUUACAAAUUACGCCCGAGGGAUGUAGGCGCUCCAGGUUGUGUGGUUGAGGAAUACGGCUACCCGCCGCCUCCCGCGCCCUGGGCUUCGACGGACCGAAGGUUAUAUUUCAACCCUUGAUUAUUUACACAUGUUGCUUUGGGGUGUUAACCCGCCCCAGAGGACCAAAACUCUGUUUUAGUGACGUCUGAGUACUAUAUAAUAGUUAAAA